AACGAACGCUGGCGGCGUGUUUAAGACAUGCAAGUCGCACGGGAUAAGACAUGUAGUAAUACUUGUUUUAUUUAGUGGCGCACGGGUGAGUAACACGUGAAUUACAUGCCCUAUAGUGGGGAAUAGCCCAGGGAAACUUGGAUUAAUACCCCAUGGUAUCGAAAGAUUAAAGGUGGCCGCAAGGCUGUCGCUAUAGGAUUGGUUCGCGCCCUAUCAGCUUGUUGGUGGGGUAACGGCUCACCAAGGCAAUGACGGGUACCUGGUCUGAGGGGACGAUCAGGCACACUGGAACUGAGACACGGUCCAGACACCUACGGGUGGCAGCAGUCGAGAAUAAUUCACAAUGGGGGCAACCCUGAUGGUGCAACGCCGCGUGGAGGAUGACGGUCUUCGGAUUGUAAACUCCUGUCAUCUGGGAGAAAGACCUGACGGUAAAUAGCCGGCAGGGUUGAUAGUACCAGAAGAGGAAGGGACGGCUAACCUCGUGCCAGCAGCCGCAGUAA
rnacentral:rRNA from 1 species